UCUAUGGGUAUAUCCAGACUGAAAGUUGAAAGUAACACCCAAUCCUCUAUUCAGUCUCCAUCUGGGAUGUAAGAGCCUGGAGGACAGGGGCCCCAUCUUACUCCUGUGUCUACUCUGGGCCUAGCAUGGCACCUUACCCAUCACAGAUGUGCUGUCAGUGUCUGCUGAACUGAAUAAGGUCCCCUUGGCCUAACCUGUCAAUCACACAGGUUGGGGUGAUUGUAGUGGAGUCACCAUUGAUUCUGUACUUUCCUCAGGAGUCUCCUGGUGACAUAAUGACAUUUUGAUAUUUUCUUCAGGAAAAAAGCACCCUGCUGGAUUAGAUAGGGUCCAGCAUCACAACCCUUGAGAGUCCAAGCAAUGCCCCAAAAGACCCAGGCCUCUGCCUGGGUGUCAACUCGUCAAUGUGCCAUUUCUGCAAAAAGGAAAAUGGACCUGCUGUUUCUUGCUGUUAUUGUCUGAAAAGUCAGUGCCCAGAUGCCAAGCCCAGAGCCUUGCUGUGCACUCGGGAAACCGUUAUUGCCAGCCUCUGCAGACCCUCAGGAAUGAGCUCUGCUUGCAACAGCCUUCUCCUGGCAAGAGUUAACACUAAGGUGCAGCUGAAGGAAUGUGAAGACUGGAGAGCCAGUUUGGGGGAUUGCUAUUGCAAUCAGAAGACAGCCCAAGUCAGAGUUCCAAAGCCCUUUGAAGGGAUGCCAGCUCAGACACAUGUUUCCAAUUAUCAUAUGCAAUCUCGAGACAGUGUGCAAGUUGCACUUUCAUUAUGUCAAAGUGAAAGGAAUGGUGGGGGCGAGAUAAAGGGGAGAGGCCGCUAAGCUGGAGGCUGCACUUAGCUGUGGCACCAAACGUUAGCCAAGGCGCCGGGCUGGCCUCUCCAACCCAAGUCUCCCCCUGGAGCCAGGGGUGCAUGCCUCUGAAAAUUACCCAGAUGUGUCACAUGCCUCAGGGAGGACCCUGUUUUCAACUGAGACCAUUAACGCAUUUAUGGCUAACACAAGGACAUUGAUUGCCUGCCACAUGCAAGAUUGGGUCCAGGUGCUGAAGAAACACAGAUGUGCUGCAUCCUUGACUUUAAGGAGCAUCCCUGGGUUGGAGGGAUUCUCUGCAGGCUGCUGUGGUGGAGGGAAGAUUUGCCCAACUUACUCUUGGCGCUGGACCCCCUGAGCCAUCUUCACACACCCAGGUGAACUUUGGGAAGGUAACAGCUUUUCAGUUGCAAACCCAAGUGAAUUAGAGCAAAACAGAUCCCACGUGCUUGACACAUGGAAACUUUCAGAGCCAAUGGUUUAUAAACUUACCAAGAGCUGGGGGAGUAAACACAUCCCAGGGAACUGUGGAGCACUUCUCUGGCAUUGAUACACAUAAGCAGAAAGCACAGCCUUCCCCGACACUUGCCUUAAGAUAGUCUUUUGUCUUAGAACCCAGAGGCUUACCUGAGCUAAACCACAUAAAGUGCUUAGUGCGAUGCCUUGAACAUACCAAGCUCUUAAUAAACGCUAAGGUCACUAUUAGCAUUGCUUGUCAUGGAAUAAACCUAGGAUACAUCUAUAAAACUGUCCAUAAUCUUCCUUGCCUUGUGGAAAGUUGUUCCACUAUUCCAACAUCCUUUUAGGGGUUCUCAGCUAAUCUACCUUUCAAAACGAAAAUUUAUUAUACACUUCUUAAGUGCUAGGUAGUUUUGUAUAUUUAUGUGUAUUAUCUCAUUAAAUGAUCUCUCAGCCCUCUGAGAAAAGCACUAUUAUCAUCCAUAUUUCACAGAUGAAGAAAUCGUCAGAGUUUCCAUAUAUCAUUGUCAGAGAUGUUAAGCAACUUGCUUAAGGUUACACAGCCUUAGCAGAAGUACUUGUUUGACUCCAAAGCCUACCAUUAUGCUGGAAUCACUAGAAUCCAGGUGGCCUAUCUGAACCCGGAUUCAGGCAUCUGAAGCUGAAUAGCUGCCAUUCUUGCUUUUAACCUCCUGGUAAAAGCAGGCUAUGCCUGAUCUAUCUAUCUAUCUAUCUAUCUAUCUAUCUAUCUAUCUAUCUAUCUAUCAAUCAUCUAUCUAUCUGUCUAUCUAUCUAUCUAUCAUGGCCUGGCUAUGCCACAUCUAUAUUCCAUGAUGUCCACUGACCAGAGGGUUUCCCUUAUCCAAUCCAUACAUGUGCCAAUAAACAAACAUUUAGUGAGCACCAACAUAGUUGCUUCUCUCCUAUAAUCAACACAGGAAUGGUUAAGUUUGGAAUAAAUUACUUUUCCUAACACUUGCAUAGGACUGGACUGUUUGCUUUCAAAUACUUGGUUUUGCUUCAUGCUCACAACUCUGGGAUAUAGGAAUGAUUAUUUUCAUUUCACAGCUGCAAGAACCAAGCUCAAAGAGGAACUGCUGCUUGCCAAAGUUUCACAGAUAGAAAUGGGGGAGCUGGGGCCAGAACCCAGCUCUGCUGACACCAAGCCCAGAGUUUGUACCAUGACACUGGGCUGCUCCCUCGGAGCUGGGUUUGGCUGAUGACCUCAACUCUGAGCACCCGUUGCCUCCCACUGUUCCGUUCAGGCCUGUGCGAGAAAGACUCCCAGGCCCCUGGGUUCUCCAUAGCCCACACUUCCACUCGGCUCCGCUUCUCUUGCCCAGCUGUCUCUCCUCCAAGGAGCGGACAGGGCGGACACGAGACCCGGGUGCCCUUUUGUCCUCUAUUCCAGCUCUGGGCGGAUCCUCCUCCCAUGAUGUGGAUGAUGCUGAGGAGAAAGUGGUAAGGCUUUUAGGAGGAACACUCCUGAUUCACGGAAAUGAAAAUAGCUGCUGGGUUGUUGCUGAAACUCUGUCCCCAUGGUGGGCUUUCUAUUAGCAGGGAAGGGGUCAGGCUGGCGCUCUGGUUGCUGGAGGGCGUCAGAGGGACAACUGAGUGUACCCCAGAGUCAGGCACCCUGCGGUCUCCCAGGCCGGGGCCUGAGCCUUGCUAGGAGGGCGGACAGCCAGGGCCGGCGCUAGUUUUCUUGGGCGUGGUGGAGGACGCCUUCCACCAAACGAAGUUGCCGAGAGGAGUCAGAUCUGCUCUCACCUUUUGGGCUUUUGGGGAACCCAGGCAGAAAAAUCUCAGUGAGGCACAGGAAGGAAAAUUUUGCAAAAUGUGCUGCUGCCGCUCCUCAGCAGAGUAUAGUGGGCGGUUUGAAGCUGUUUUCUUGGUGUUCAAGUGGCUGGGGCCCUGGCGACCCCGGUCAGCCUUUCUGGGGCAGCCCGGGUGGGUCUGAAAGCCAGGGCUCCCCUCCGUGUGUGGGAGCAGAGCCCAAGCUGCGGAAACCACCGGGCGCGGGGUUGUUUUUGGAAGGCUCCGACGCCGAUCAGCCAAACUGAUAUCCCUUAUAUUGUGUGAAAACAUUGGCUCCCACGCUGGGACUCCAGUGUUUCCGCCUAGAGCAGAUUUUGCCUUUGGGAAGGUGGUGGUGUUCCUGGGAUGAGGGGCCCUCCUCUUACCGGACACGCAGGAGAGCAGCCCACAUGGAAGUGAGGGCCUCAGCCUUCGUGCUCCCUCAGACGGUCCUCCCUCUCGGCUGCCCAGGGGAGCCAAAGACAUUUUUUAGAUGUCCCAGUGUCUUGCAGUGCCGCGGGCAGCACUCCAGGACCCUCUUUGUUGGUGUAGCUGCUCACAAGCCAACCUUCCUGAUGGGGAGCUUCCUGAAGGCCUCCCUCUCCACUCCUCUCCCCACAUCCCAGGCCCAAAGUCCAGUCCUAAGAGAAAAAAAGCCACCCAGAAACUUUGUAGGGGCACCUAGGACGGCUGAGACCACUGGCAUUGGACCCCAGUAAAAGUCACAGACACAGAUCACUGGGAGGGCUCCUCCCUGAGGCCUUUAUCUCACUUAGAAUCUCAGCACAGAAUGUUCUAGCUGGUGUUUCUUGAGCAUAAACCUUUAUUCCAAUUGCAGUGGCUCUGAUAGAAAAAACAGGGCACAUUUCAUCAUACUUCUACCCUAAUCAAAUGGCUCUCAUGCCAAAGCUCCCUACGUUUCUAAUUUGCCCUAUUUGGAUGGCGUUGGAGGUGGGGCCGGACAGCGAGAAUUACAGAGGGAAUGAAUAAGACCAUUUGCUCUUUUCUCGGAUGGACAAUUUGGGCCUGUUCUCUUGAAAACCAGUGUAGGCAUUUCAUCCUCGGGGGGAGACAGGAUGGAUAGGAGGGGAAAUUUUCUGUCUUAAUAUAAGUGCUCUGUCUGGGGGAAUAUUGUGGCUUCAAGGAAAAUACAAAAUGAAAGUUGCAGGGGAAGGGGGUCGUGUGAGGCUGGGUGGAGCCCUGCUGCAGGCUGAACCCUGGAGUCCCUCUGUCACCUUCACUCCUAAGAUGCUCUGGAUGGAGUCAGUGUUUAUUAGCACAUCCAAAAAGCCCCACAAGAACCACCCAGGUUGCUAACUUUCCUGGAGGCUGGAGAGUGCUGGUAAAGAUGAGAGAUCACACCUCCCUCCUCCUCCUGCUCUGUCCUCCCCUCCCCUUCUUCACAUCCACCUCUGGCCUUCUCUUUGUCAUCCUUGUUUCAUUUCCCCUGUUUGGGAGAAGCAGAAAGCCGUGGUUUCCUGCCGGCCCACCUGUCCUCCACAUCUCCAGGUUUAUUUGGUUCUUACUCCAUUUACUUAGUCUUUCUGCCCCACCCUCUUCUCUGCAGGUCCCACGGCCCCAGUCACCUUUGGUCACUUAUGGAAAUCAUCCAAUUAAGAAUAAAAAUAUUUUCAGAAGUUCUCUCCCGUCUCUGGCUUCCCUGGCUGUGGGCUGAUGGUGGGGCCCCUGGAAGUUGCUACUGUGGCUGUUAGUGGGUUGCAAGAGUGUCGGAGGCACUAAUGUUUUCUUGGGGUAAUGAAGUCUUUCUGCAGGAGGCUGCUGAGGGAUAAAACGAGUACUAAGGCCAGCUGAACAUGAAACCAGAUCUACUUUGACAGGCCUCGUGAGAUUACUCUGUUACAACUCUUCCAGACAGCACAUCUCCCUCUACAAAUGAGCAGCUCACAGAUCUUUGGUACAAGCCUCUUCCUGUCUAUCGAGUGCCCCCAGGACUGAGACUGUGCCUCUGAGGCCAGGGCAGCCCCAUGCCCAGUGGUGAUCUGCCUCCUGAUGAGGCUCCACUAACUUCUCCAAGGGAGGAGACCAGGGCCCAUGCUUCCAGGCCGUGGGCAGGUAAUCCAAUGAUUAGGUAGCUUUGGCUCUGGAAUGUAGAACAAAGUUGCAAUCCAGCAGGCUUCCUUUGCUAAUCAUGCCUGGCUUAGGCUAAUAUCUGAAACCAGUUAGCCUUUCCUGAAGUUGCAGCACUGGCUGGGGGUGGGGUAAGGGUUACAGGUGGGCCUUAGAAGGAGCCAGGGGGUGCUUCAGACAAUUCCCCCUGCAUCUUCCUCAGACUUGCAGAUGAUUUUACUCAAAAAAAAUAA
rnacentral:lncRNA from 1 species